rnacentral:rRNA from 1 species
AGUGAACGCUGGCGGUAGGCCUAACACAUGCAAGUCGAACGGCAGCACAGUAAGAGCUUGCUCUUACGGGUGGCGAGUGGCGGACGGGUGAGGAAUACAUCGGAAUCUACUUUUUCGUGGGGGAUAGCGUAGGGAAACUUACGCUAAUACCGCAUACGACCUACGGGUGAAAGCAGGGGAUCUUCGGACCUUGCGCGAUUGAAUGAGCCGAUGUCGGAUUAGCUAGUUGGCGGGGUAAAGGCCCACCAAGGCGACGAUCCGUAGCUGGUCUGAGAGGAUGAUCAGCCACACUGGAACUGAGACACGGUCCAGACUCCUACGGGAGGCAGCAGUGGGGAAUAUUGGACAAAGGGCGCAAGCCUGAUCCAGCCAUACCGCGUGGGUGAAGAAGGCCUUCGGGUUGUAAAGCCCUUUUGCUGGGAAAGAAAAGCAGCAGGUUAAUACCCCGCUGUUCUGACGGUACCCAAAGAAUAAGCACCGGCUAACUUCGUG